rnacentral:rRNA from 1 species
AACUCUAAGUGCCUUACUUUCAGUAAGGCUUUUGCCAAAGGUAAAAACUUUGGAGAAUAAGUGGUGGGCAAGACUGGUGCCAGCCGCCGCGGUAACACCAGCGCCACUAGUGGGAAUCACAUUUAUUUGGCCUAAAGCGUCCGUAGCCUGUCUUAUAAGUUCCUUGUGAAAUUGUUACGCUUAACGUAACAGCGUGCAGGGAAUACUGUUUGACUUGGAACCGCGAGGAGUUAGAGGUAUUCCUAGGGGAGCGGUAAAAUGCUAUAAUCCUGGGAGGACCACCUGUGGCGAAGGCGUCUAACUAGAACGGUUUCGACGGUGAGGGACGAAAGCUAGGAGAGCAAUCCGGAUUAGAUACGAGAGAUCAUGUCUGAGUUCUAAAGUUAAUUUGCAAAUUGUUCACAAAAAACUACUGUAAAUUGAUAAAAGAAUUCGCUAAAUGAUGAUCUUCUCGCUAACUACCCGAGUAGUCCUAGCUGUAAACUCUGCGAGCUAGGUGUUGCAUAAUCUUCGUGAUUAUGCAGUGUCGAAGCGAAGGUGAUAAGCUCGCCGCCUGGGAAGUAUGGUC